rnacentral:tRNA from 1 species
GUGCUAUAGCUCAGUUGGUAGAGCAAAGGACUGAAAAUCCUUGUGUCCCCGGUUCGAAUCCUGGUAGCACC